UUAUACCGUGAAACUGCGAAUGGCUCAUUAAAUCAGUUAUCGUUUAUUUGAUAGUACCUUACUACUUGGAUACCCGUGGUAAUUCUAGAGCUAAUACAUGCAAAAAACCCCGACUUCGGGAGGGGUGUAUUUAUUAGAUAAAAAACCAAUGCCCUUCGGGGCUCUUUGGUGAUUCAUGAUAACUUAACGGAUCGCAUGGCCUUGCGCCGGCGACGGUUCAUUCAAAUUUCUGCCCUAUCAACUUUCGAUGGUAAGGUAUUGGCUUACCAUGGUUUCAACGGGUAACGGAUUUUUAGGGAAAGAUCCCGGAGAGGGAGCCUGAGAAACGGCUACCACAUCCAAGGAAGGCAGCAGGCGCGCAAAUUACCCAAUCCCGACACGGGGAGGUAGUGACAAUAAAUACUGAUACAGGGCUCUUUUGGGUCUUGUAAUCGGAAUGAGUACAAUUUAAAUACCUUAACGAGGAACAAUUGGAGGGCAAGUCUGGUGCCAGCAGCCGCGGUAAUUCCAGCUCCAAUAGCGUAUAUUAAAGUUGUUGCAGUUAAAAAGCUCGUAGUUGAACCUUGGGCCUGGCUGGCCGGUCCGCCUCACCGCGUGUACUGGUCCGGCCGGGCCUUUCCUUCUGGAGAACCCCAUGCCCUUCACUGGGCGUGGCGGGGAACCAGGACUUUUACUUUGAGAAAAUUAGAGUGUUCAAAGCAGGCCUUUGCUCGAAUACGUUAGCAUGGAAUAAUAGAAUAGGACGUGUGGUUCUAUUUUGUUGGUUUCUAGAACCGCCGUAAUGAUUAAUAGGGAUAGUCGGGGGCGUCAGUAUUCAAUUGUCAGAGGUGAAAUUCUUGGAUCUAUUGAAGACUAACUACUGCG
rnacentral:rRNA from 1 species